GUGUGUCCGGUAAUGCGCCAUCUUCUGUAAAUGUGGGAAUAUCCCUGAUGAGAGAGGAUGUCCAACGUGUCGUUGUCGACCAUGUGGACCGUCAAUCUGCCCCUUACGUCGCUGUGCUCGACCAAUCGAAUGUCGUUUUGGGGUAAAGAAAGUGAACGGUUGCCCCACGUGUGAGUGUAAUCCUGGCCCUGCCGAUUGUUCCAAGGUCGGGUGCCCACCAGAUGUCGCUAUCAAGUGUGCUUAUGGCGUCAAGAUAAUAAAUGGCUGUCCUUCGUGUUCCUGCAACUCUGGU